UACGUAGGGGGCUAGCGUUGUCCGGAAUCAUUGGGCGUAAAGCGCGUGUAGGCGGCCCGGUAAGUCCGCUGUGAAAGUCGGGGGCUCAACCCUCGAAUGCCGGUGGAUACUGUCGGGCUCGAGUACGGAAGAGGCGAGUGGAAUUCCUGGUGUAGCGGUGAAAUGCGUAGAGAUCAGGAGGAAUACCGGUGGCGAAAGCGACUCUCUGGACGGCAACUGACGCUGAGGCACGAAAGCGUGGGGAGCAAACAGG
rnacentral:rRNA from 1 species